AGCAGCGACCAUGAAUCAGUUACCCAUUGUUCUCAUGGUUUUUCUUUUGAUUUCUUCCCUCUCUUUCAUCAGAGGGGACGAUUCUCCAUGCUGGUCUAUGAAUGGAAGAUGCCAAUACACAUCCGAACCUUGAUUUGAAUAUAAAGCAGGGUAUUGUGCUGGACCAACCAACAGACAAUGUUGCGUUCUUGGAAAGGAUAUACAAUGCUGGAACAGAGGUGGAAUUUGCCAAAAUAAUUGGAAUCGCUGUAG